rnacentral:rRNA from 1 species
AUUGAACGCUGGCGGCAUGCUUUACACAUGCAAGUCGAACGGUAACAGGCCGCAAGGUGCUGACGAGUGGCGAACGGGUGAGUAAUGCAUCGGAACGUGCCCAGUCGUGGGGGAUAACGCAGCGAAAGCUGCGCUAAUACCGCAUACGAUCUAUGGAUGAAAGCGGGGGACCGAAAGGCCUCGCGCGAUUGGAGCGGCCGAUGUCAGAUUAGGUAGUUGGUGGGGUAAAGGCCCACAAAGCCAACGAUCUGUAGCUGGUCUGAGAGGACGACCUGCCACACUGGGACUGAGACACGGCACAGACUCCUACGGGAGGCAGCAGUGGGGAAUUUUGGACAAUGGGCGCAAGCCUGAUCCAGCAAUGCCGCGUGCAGGAAGAAGGCCUUCGGGUUGUAAACUGCUUUUGUACGGAACGAAACGGUCCGGGUUAAUACCCUGGGCUAAUGACGGUACCGUAAGAAUAAGCACCGGCUAACUACGUGCCAGCCGCCGCGGUAACAC